GGGGCGUCGCCAAGUGGUAAGGCAUCGGGUUUUGAUCCCGCUAUUCGGAGGUUCGAAUCCUUCCGUCCCAG
rnacentral:tRNA from 1 species